rfam:Rattus norvegicus chromosome 17, whole genome shotgun sequence.
CCAAAGGCUCUUUUCAGAGCCACCUAUAAGAACACACGGAGGAGCU